rnacentral:tRNA from 1 species
GGGCCCUUAGCUCAGUCGGUAGAGCAGUUCCCUUUUAAGGAAUUGGUCGUAGGUUCGAUCCCUACAGGGCCCA